UUUUCUCUCUACGUAAAGAGAGGGUUGAGGGGAUAUUGGAGUUGGCAGCUUGGAGGGUUGUGAGCUGAGAAGAAAAUCUAAUGCAGACAGGAAUUUCUAUUGUAGGAAUUGCUGAACCACUUGACUAGAGCAUCUAAAUUAAGCUUGUGGAGCUUCCGAGUUGGGGCUACAGCUGAAGAAUACAAAGCUGAAAUUGUUGGUGCUGUUGGAGCAGCAGAGAAGGCUUUCAAAGCUGAAAGUAACCUGGGGAAGGUCUCUAAUUAAGUGCAUGUUAUCCUGGAAGCAAGCUGAAUUAAACCUUCAAGUUGGAGUUUUUAGCAGAGAAGAGCUAAUUGGAGUUGCUAAAUCAUCUGGAAUAAUAUCUAAUCAAGCUUGAGAGAUUGGUGUUGUUGAUGCAGCCGAAAUGCAAAGGUGGAUCAUUUGAUGCAGUGAAUGAGUUAAUUCAGCAUCCAAUUGAGGAAUAGUGAUUAACGGAGAAUUACUCCUGGACUGCAGCAAAGGGACCAAGUGGAAGCUUCAGCUGAAGAAAUCUGAAACCUAAGGAAAUUAAGUGUAAACUAGAGGAGAGAAAGGACUCGGAGCAUUGAGUUGUUGCUGCAGGACAGCAAGAAAGAUCCUUGGAUCUGAGAUUAAUUCGAGGAAGCUUAAUCACAGGUCGAUGAUGCGCUGAUUACGGUAGAGACCGUUUUAGUUCUAUUUGCAUUGAGUUGCGAGAGAUAGUCGUCGACGCAAUUCGAGACAUCGAUCUUAGUUGAUUGACACCACUACAGUGUCGUGGAUCCGGCGUGAUUGAAGGCGUUUCGUGGAUUCGGAUCGGGGGCUCGUGGAUUCGAGUGGCGUUCGUGGAUUCAGACGUGUGCGACGUGCUUGUGGAUUCGAACGUGAGGGCGUGG